UUGCAAACGAGCAUGAUUGGAAGCACACGGUGCCCUGUGAGGGUGCAGGCAGAGGUUGGGGUGAUGCUUCUACACACCGCUGGAUGCCAAGGAUUGCCACUAAACCCCCAGGAGUCAGGAGCGAGGAAGGAACAAUGCUCUCUUCCACUCUCAGGCGCAACUAACCCUGCUGGCACUUUGAUUUUGACUUCUCGCCUCCAGAACUGUUCCGAUUCAAGGACGAUGCGACAUCACAAGAUCACUUGAACUCCAUCGUGAUAGGGCCCGCAAAGAGCUGAACGGAGCGGGCAUUGUCAACGACGUCAGCCGCUCUCCAUCGCACGUUCACCUUGCGAAGCACACCGACCAAGAAGGUAGAUAGUAACCUUCCUCCAUCUUCAAGACAGCAAUGACUACUAAGCCCUUCUGCCUUCUGCCACCAGCCAGAGAAAACUCACUACUUUUAAGGGCUCAUGGGGUUACACUGCCCUCACCUCCGCCCCCAAUUGUAAGCUCAGCUGUGCCAUGGUUAAUGACGUUCCUAAGGCAAUCAGGAUAAGAAUGGAAACCCAGCAGACAGAUUGUAAACUAAAAGUCGCUUUGAUGACCAAGAGCAUCACUUCUCCGAACAUUUGUUAACAAAGUCUUUGGAGGAUGAAUAAAUUUAUGAGCUUCUGCUGUGAGGUUGAAAUUUUUCUAUUUGAUUUUGAAGGUUCAUUAGAGUGAAAAUUUAUGCACUGAGUGGAAGGCCAUUUCCCCAACGUGCCCACGAUCUGCUCUUUUCCAGGCAAAGAACAUUUCCAGAUUUCUGAAAACUAGAUCCAGAACAGUGAACUUAUUGAUGCAAUUACCCGCCAGGUCAACUUAGCACCCCAGGAAACCCUGCCUGUUAGGAUUCAAACCAUGCUGUCCUUGCAAUGAGAUGAGCCUGUCUUGACAUCCUCAACUGGGGGUGGCAUCACCACG